rnacentral:rRNA from 1 species
UACGAGAGGCCCAAACGUUAUUCGGAAUUACUGGGCUUAAAGAGUUCGUAGGCGGCGCAGAAAGUAGGGUGUGAAAGCCCUCGGCUCAACCGAGGAAUUGCGCCCUAAACUACUGUGCCCGAGGGACCUAGAGGUGAGCAGAACAGAUGGUGGAGCGGUGAAAUGCGUUGAUAUCAUCUGGAAUACCGGAGGCGAAGGCGGCUCACUGGGGGUCUUCUGACGCUGAGGAACGAAAGCCAGGGGAGCGAACGGG